rnacentral:lncRNA from 1 species
AAAGGGCUUGCUUCGCAUCUCUUCCAGUAUCUUGGCCCGAUCUGUAUUGAGUGCGGUGUACACCUUGUUGACCCCUUUAUUUGGGAAGGGUGGCCUUCCACCGCCCCCCCCCCCCCGUUGUAGUUUUUCUUGUAGCUAUCCGACCUCCCCUGAUUGUCAGACUUCUGAUAGCUCUGUUUGUCCCGAUCUCGGUACUUCUCGUGGGAUUGGGGUUUGAAAUUCCCCAUCGCUUCCUCGAUUGCUAUGUGAUCUUUGGCCCUAUGGAAGGCCUCUGUCAGGUCGGCCGGGGGGUUGAUCACCAGGUCCUUCAUUAGCUUCUUUGAUUUUCCGAUGUCAAGCCCCGUUGUGAAGAAUCCCAGAGCUUGUGGGGAAUUCAGCUCCACCACCGACCCCACAGCCUCCCGAAAUCUCUUAACAUACUGCCCAGGCUCUCAUCUGAUCUCGGCCUGACCUGCAUGAGGGAUGCUGUGAUAUUCCCCCGUCUCUUAUUACUCCCAAACCGUGCAUGAAAUUUUUCCCGAAGGUCUUUCCAUGAAUUUAUCGAUCCCGAUGCCAAGGUUCCCAUCCAUUCCCGGGAGCUUUUCUUCAGGGUAGUAGCAAACAUGUGGCACUUGGCUGCAUCAGAGUGGCCAUAAUAUGUCAUCAACCUGUCAUACCCAUCAGAAUGGUCGUAAGGGUCCCCCAGCCCGUCAUAAGUCUCCAUCGGGGGCAUCUUCUUUUUGGGGUC